UCAGGCCAGGCUGCACUGCUGGGACCUGGGCCAUGUCUCCCCACCCCACCGCCCUCCUGGGCCUAGCAAGAAGGAUUACAUGGAGACAGUGAUGUCGAGGAGGGUUGGCUUGGUCGUUAUGAAAUGCUGAAUGCCCCCCAGCUCCAUCGAGCCCCCUUUUGACAGCAGCCCCGUAAGGAGACUGGGCACUGGGCAUUUUUCUCACUGGGGCUUCUCUUCCAGUGCUCUGCCUGGCCCAGACCAUCCACACGCAGGAGGAAGAUCUGCCCAGACCCUCCAUCUCGGCUGAGCCAGGCACCGUGAUCCCCCUGGGGAGCCAUGUGACUUUCGUGUGCCGGGGCCCGGUUGGGGUUCAAACAUUCCGCCUGGAGAGGGAGAGUAGAUCCACAUACAAUGAUACUGAAGAUGUGUCUCAAGCUAGUCCAUCUGAGUCAGAGGCCAGAUUCCGCAUUGACUCAGACCCACGCAGAGGCCGUCGGACAACAGUCACAAUGAGCAUGCACCUGCUUCCCAAGGCCUGAAAGCUGAGCAUCUGUAUAUUCUCAUCGGGGUCUCAGUGGUCUUCCUCUUCUGUCUCCUCCUCCUGGUCCUCUUCUGCCUCCAUCGCCAGAAUCAGAUAAAGCAGGGGCCCCCCAGAAGCAAGGACGAGGAGCAGAAGCCACAGCAGAGGCCUGACCUGGCUGUUGAUGUUCUAGAGAGGACAGCAGACAAGGCCACAGUCAAUGGACUUCCUGAGAAGGACAGAGAGACGGACACCUCGGCCCUGGCUGCAGGGAGUUCCCAGGAGGUGACGUAUGCUCAGCUGGACCACUGGGCCCUCACACAGAGG
rnacentral:misc_RNA from 1 species